AGUCGACGGCAGCACGGAGCUUGCUCUGGUGGCGAGUGGCGAACGGGUGAGUAAUAUAUCGGAACGUACCCUGGAGUGGGGGAUAACGUAGCGAAAGUUACGCUAAUACCGCAUACGAUCUACGGAUGAAAGUGGGGGAUCGCAAGACCUCAUGCUCGUGGAGCGGCCGAUAUCUGAUUAGCUAGUUGGUAGGGUAAAAGCCUACCAAGGCAUCGAUCAGUAGCUGGUCUGAGAGGACGACCAGCCACACUGGAACUGAGACACGGUCCAGACUCCUACGGGAGGCAGCAGUGGGGAAUUUUGGACAAUGGGCGAAAGCCUGAUCCAGCAAUGCCGCGUGAGUGAAGAAGGCCUUCGGGUUGUAAAGCUCUUUUGUCAGGGAAGAAACGGUGAGGGCUAAUAUCCCUUGCUAAUGACGGUACCUGAAGAAUAAGCACCGGCUAACUACGUGCCAGCAGCCGCGGUAAUACGUAGGGUGCAAGCGUUAAUCGGAAUUACUGGGCGUAAAGCGUGCGCAGGCGGUUUUGUAAUUCUGAUGUGAAAUCCCCGGGCUCAACCUGGGAAUUGCAUUGGAGACUGCAAGGCUAGAAUCUGGCAGAGGGGGGUAGAAUUCCACGUGUAGCAGUGAAAUGCGUAGAUAUGUGGAGGAACACCGAUGGCGAAGGCAGCCCCCUGGGUCAAGAUUGACGCUCAUGCACGAAAGCGUGGGGAGCAAACAGGAUUAGAUACCCUGGUAGUCCACGCCCUAAACGAUGUCUACUAGUUGUCGGGUCUUAAUUGACUUGGUAACGCAGCUAACGCGUG
rnacentral:rRNA from 1 species